GGAAUAUUGGUCAAUGGGCGCAAGCCUGAACCAGCCAUGCCGCGUGCAGGAUGACGGUCCUAUGGAUUGUAAACUGCUUUUGUACAGGAAGAAACACUCCCUCGUGAGGGAGCUUGACGGUACGGUAAGAAUAAGGAUCGGCUAACUCCGUGACAGCCGCCGCGGAAAUACGGAGGAUCCAAGCGUUAUCCGGAAUCAUUGGGUUUAAAGGGUCCUUAGGCGGUUUUAUAAGUCAGUGGUGAAAUCUGGUCUCUCAACGAUCAAACGGCCAUUGAUACUGUAGAACUUGAAUUACUUGGAAGUAACUAGAAUAUGUAGUGUAGCGGUGAAAUGCUUAGAGAUUACAUGGAAUACCAAUUGCGAAGGCAGGUUACUACGAGUACAUUGACGCUGAUGGACGAAAGCGUGGGGAGCGAAC
rnacentral:rRNA from 1 species